UACGGAGGGUGCGAGCGUUGUCCGGAAUCACUGGGCUUAAAGGGCGCGUAGGCGGGCUGUCCAGUCUGGGGUGAAAUCCCGCGGCUCAACCGUGGAACUGCCUUAGAUACUGACGGCCUCGAGGGAGGUAGGGGCGUGCGGAACUGUAGGUGGAGCGGUGAAAUGCGCAGAUAUCAGGAGGAACACCGGUGGCGAAGGCGGGUCUCUGGGCCGAAACUGACGCUGAGGAGCGAAAGCGUGGGGAGCAAACAGG
rnacentral:rRNA from 1 species